rfam:Arenibacter sp. C-21 DNA, contig: C21_contig0021.
UUGUUAUCAAGAAAGGUGGAGGGAAUAGACCCUUUGAAGCCUUAGCAACCCUUUGAUCAUUUAUUAAAGAAGGUGCUAAAUUCUACCUAAAUACUGGGCCAAAUUAUUA